UACGUAGGGGGCAAGCGUUGUCCGGAAUUAUUGGGCGUAAAGAGCGUGUAGGCGGCCCGGCAAGUCCGCCGUGAAAGUCCAGGGCUCAACCCUGGAAUGCCGGUGGAAACUGUCGGGCUUGAGUUCGGAAGAGGCGAGUGGAAUUCCUGGUGUAGCGGUGAAAUGCGCAGAUAUCAGGAGGAACACCAAUGGCGAAGGCAGCUCGCUGGGACGACACUGACGCUGAGACGCGAAAGCGUGGGUAGCAAACAGG
rnacentral:rRNA from 1 species